AAUGAACGCUGGCGGCGUGCCUAACACAUGCAAGUCGAACGCAAACACCAGGAGCUUGCUCUUCUGAGGUUAGCGGGGGACGGGCGAGUGACGCGUACAUAACCUACCUCUUAGACUGGGGUAACUACGGGAAACCGGAUACAAUACCACAUCAUACUUUGUACCGCACGGAGCACUAGUGAAAGGAGCGUUUGCCGUAUCGCUUAGACGGAGUCGCGUUACCUAGUUGGCAGGGUAAGGGAACACCAAGCCAACGAUCCGUAGCUGGUCUGAAGGGGGGAUCGGCCACACUGGAACUGAGACAGGGUCCGGACUCCUACGGGGGGCAGAGUUGGGGAAUAUUCGCCAAAGGGGGAAAGCCGGAGGCGGCAAGCCGGGUGGGGUAAGGAGGUCUUUCGGUUGGUAAAACCCGUUUAUUGGGAAAGAAGAGAUGCGGAUGAAAAAUCCGCGGUUUUGACGGUACCUAAACAGGAAGCCCCGGCUAACUACGUG
rnacentral:rRNA from 1 species